rnacentral:rRNA from 1 species
CACCCAAUAGCUAGCCUAAAACCUAAACACAAUAAGCCCUUAUAAAUACCCCCAAAUACACAAACUUUCAACUAAACAAACCAUUUUUCCCCCUUAGUAUCGGCGACAGAAAAGGACCAAAAAGCAAUAGAUAAAGUACCGCAAGGGAAUGCUGAAAAAGAAAUGAAACAAACCAGUAAAGUCAUAUAAAGCAGAGACUAAGCCUCGUACCUUUUGCAUCAUGAGUUAGCCAGCAGCCCCAAGCAAAGAGCCCUUUAGUUUGACACCCCGAAACUAAGUGAGCUACUCCAAGACAGCCUAUUAAUAGGGCCAACCCGUCUCUGUGGCAAAAGAGUGGGAAGAGCUUUGAGUAGAGGUGACAGACCUACCGAACUUAGUUAUAGCUGGUUGCUUGAGAACUGAAUAAAAGUUCAGCCUCUUGGCUUCUCUGCUCCCCCUACCUUAGUUAGAUUGACUUAAAGAAGCCCAGAGAGUUAGUUAAAAGAGGUACAGCUCUUUUAAAAAAAACACAACUUUUCAAGGUGGGCAUAGAUCAUAUUAAAACAAGGCCAAGUGUUUUAGUGGGCCUAAAAGCAGCCAUCUAAAAGAAAGCGUUAAAGCUCAGUCACUAUUAAUUGCCCCCAAUUCCCGAUAAUCCAUCUAAUCCCCCUAAACCUAUCAGGCCAUCCCAUGCCUACAUGGGAGAGACCAUGCUAACAUGAGUAAUAAGGGGACAUUGCCCCCCUCCUUGCACACGUAUAAAUCGGAACGAACCCCCACCGAAAAUUAUCGGCCCCAAACAAAGAGGGCAUUGAGCAACAAAUCAAGCAACUAGAAAACCGCUCAUCAAUCAUACCGUUAAUCCCACACCGGUGUGCUAACAAGGAAAGACUAAAAGAAAAAGAAGGAACUCGGCAUAUACAAGCCUCGCCUGUUUACCAAAAACAUCGCCUCUUGCAAAAUUAAAGAAUAAGAGGUCCCGCCUGCCCUGUGACAAUAGUUUAACGGCCGCGGUAUUUUGACCGUGCAAAGGUAGCGCAAUCACUUGUCUUUUAAAUGAAGACCUGUAUGAAUGGCACGACGAGGGCUUAACUGUCUCCUUUUUCAAGUCAAUGAAAUUGAUCCCCCCGUGCAGAAGCGGGGAUAAUUACAUAAGACGAGAAGACCCUAUGAAGCUUUAGACACCAAAGCAGUUCACGUUAAACACCCCUAAAUAUAGGAUCAAACUAAAUAGAGCCCUGCCCUAAUGUCUUUGGUUGGGGCGACCACGGGGAAAAAAAUAACCCCCAUGCGGAAUGAGAGAACUUCUCUCACAACCAAGAGCCACAGCUCUAGUCAACAGAAUGUCUGACCACCAGAUCCGGCAAUGCCGAUCAACGGACCGAGUUACUCUAGGGAUAACAGCGCAAUCCCCUUUAAGAGCCCAUAUCGACAAGGGGGUUUACGACCUCGAUGUUGGAUCAGGACAUCCUAAUGGUGCAGCCGCUAUUAAGGGUUCGUUUGUUCAACGAUUAAAGUCCU